AUCCAGCUGGCGAGUCCCAAAUAGAACGAAAUGCGCUUCCUGGAU
rnacentral:hammerhead_ribozyme from 1 species